UUUGCCACAAUUACAUAUCUAGUCAUAUUAUAUUUAUGUGAUAUUAACUUUAGCACUGUAUUAUGCAAGUUAUCCUCUAGAGAACCUACGUUAUAUGUGAAUACUCUUCAAUAAGAUUUCAUUUUACAGGAACAUUCACUCCAGAAGAUAGCUGUACCUAUGGUCUCAAAGAAAGCAUGAUAGUGCCUUUGUUUCAUUUGGAACAGAGACGGUGUGGAAUUGCCAGAGGAAGGAUUUAUAAGAAUGAAUGAACUGAUUAUCCAACAAAAGAGAAGGAAUUGCAGUUAAUUUUGAUGCUACUGAAGUAAUAUAUACUUUUGAUGUCAUCACUUUGCAACAUUAUGGAGUUAAUUUUGAACUUUCGAGGAGCAGGCAACUGGAAAUCUAGUUUAGAAAGGACUGAAACAACAGGUUGUCUGCAGUGGUCUUCCUCUUGGAUUUGGCUUGCCUAUUACACUUGGAGACUUUAAAAUACUACUUCCUGCAGUUAAUUAAGAUUAUCGAACAAAUGAGUUCAGUUUGGCUGUACUGAAACGGCCAAUGUCUACAUGGGUGUUGUCUAUUCUGGACUUGGUUUUGAUUUGCUACUUUUGUCCUCACCUCGCAACGUAUGCAGUUAAUUUUCAACCGAUGAGUGGAAGCAACUGGAAACCUAUUUGAACAACAGACUUUCUGCCGUGGUAUUUUGGAUUUGGUUUGCUUUUUACAUCUGCUAACAUUGAGAGGUUGCAGUCUACAGUUAAUUAAGAUCGACGUUGGAGAAGACUAAGAUGACCCCAUAGUUGAAAGAGUUCUUUUAUAUUGCAUGCUCUGUGUAGUAGAAUUCAUUAAAUUCGUUUUAUUCAAA